AUUGAACGCUGGCGGCAUGCCUAACACAUGCAAGUCGAACGGCAGCGCGGGUAGCAAUACUUGGCGGCGAGUGGCGGACGGGUGAGGAAUGCAUCGGAAUCUGCCCAGUUGUGGGGGAUAACUGGCCGAAAGGCCAGCUAAUACCGCAUACGACCGAGAGGUGAAAGCGGGGGACCUUCGGGCCUCGCGCGAUUGGAUGAGCCGAUGCCGGAUUAGCUAGUUGGUGGGGUAAAGGCCUACCAAGGCGACGAUCCGUAGCUGGUCUGAGAGGAUGAUCAGCCACACUGGAACUGAGACACGGUCCAGACUCCUACGGGAGGCAGCAGUGGGGAAUAUUGGACAAUGGGCGAAAGCCUGAUCCAGCAAUGCCGCGUGUGUGAAGAAGGCCUGCGGGUUGUAAAGCACUUUCAGUAGGAAGAUUAUGACGGUACCUACAGAAGAAGCACCGGCUAACUACCGUGCCAGCAGCCGCGG
rnacentral:rRNA from 1 species